GACGAACGCUGGCGGCGUGCUUAACACAUGCAAGUCGAACGGAAAGGCCCUGCUUUUGUGGCGUGCUCGUGUGGCGAACGGGUGAGUAACACGUGAGUAACCUCCCCUUGUCUGUGGGAUAACUUCAGGAGACUGCGGCUCAUACCGGAUAGGAGCUCCUGCUCCAUGGGGGGGGUUGGAGAGUUUCGGCGGUUCGGGCUGGACUCGCGGCUUAUCAGCUGGUUGGUGGGGUAGGGGCUUACCAAGCCUUUGACGGGUAGCCGGCCUGAGAGGGUGGCCGGGCACAAUGGGACUGAGGGACGGAGCAGUAGGCUACGGGAGGCAGUAGUGGGGAAUAUUGCAGAACGGGGGGGAGCCUGAGGCAGCAACCUCGGGAGCGGGAAGACGGGCUUUGGGGUGUAAACCGAUUUGGCAUGUGAUGAAGCGUGAGUGACGGUAAUGGGUAAAGAAGCACCGGCUAACUACGUG
rnacentral:rRNA from 1 species